rnacentral:rRNA from 1 species
UCGGGAAUUUUGGGCACUGGGCGAAAGCCUGACCCAGCAACGCCGCGUGAGGGAUGAAGUAUUUCGGUAUGUAAACCUCGAAAGAAUGGGAAGAAUAAAUGACGGUACCAUUUAUAAGCUCCGGCUAACUACGUGCCAGCAGCCGCGGUAAUACGUAGGGAGCAAGCGUUGUUCGGAUUUACUGGGCGUAAAGGGCGCGUAGGCGGCGCGGUAAGUCACUUGUGAAAUCUCUGAGCUUAACUCAGAACGGCCAAGUGAUACUGCUGUGCUAGAGUGCGGAAGAGGCAACGGGAAUUCUUGGUGUAGCGGUGAAAUGCGUAGAUAACAAGAGGAACACCUGAGGCGAAGGCGGGUUGCUGGGCCGACACUGACGCUGAUGCGCGAAAGCCAGGGGAGCAAACG